GCGGAGGGAUCAUUGCUGGAACACGUCUCCCAAGGCGUACCCAGAAACCCUUUGUGAACUCCUGUAUCCAAACGUUGCCUCGGCAAGGCUGGGAGACCUCGCGUCUCCCCCCGGCGCCCCUCUCCCCCCUGCGGGAGGCGGGAGGCGGGAAGCAGGCCUGCCGGCGGCCCUCUCUGUAAACGCUUUGUUUGAAUCACGUAUCAUCUCUGAGUAUAACAAAACAAAAAUGAAUCAAAACUUUCAACAACGGAUCUCUUGGUUCUGGCAUCGAUGAAGAACGCAGCGAAAUGCGAUAAGUAAUGUGAAUUGCAGAAUUCAGUGAAUCAUCGAAUCUUUGAACGCACAUUGCGCCCGCUGGAAUUCCGGCGGGCAUGCCUGUUCGAGCGUCAUUUCAACCCUCAAGCCUCUGCUUGGUGUUGGGGCACAGCCUUGCCUUCGGGUAGGGCUGGCCCUGAAAUCUAGUGGCGGGCUCGCUAGGACUCCGAGCGUAGUAAUUUAUCUCCACGCUAUGGAAGGCCCUGCGGUGCCCCGGCCGUGAAACCCCACACUAUUUUUUUUAUAUG
rnacentral:rRNA from 1 species